rnacentral:rRNA from 1 species
GACAGAGGAUGCAAGCGUUAUCCGGAAUGAUUGGGCGUAAAGCGUCUGUAGGUGGCUUUUUAAGUCCGCCGUCAAAUCCCAGGGCUCAACCCUGAACAGGCGGUGGAAACUACCAAGCUGGAGUACGGUAGGGGCAGAGGGAAUUUCCGGUGGAGCGGUGAAAUGCGUAGAUAUGCGGAGGAACACCGAUGGCGAAGGCAAUCCCCUGGGCCUGCACUGACGCUCAUGCACGAAAGCGUGGGGAGCAAACAGG